rnacentral:rRNA from 1 species
UACGUAGGGUGCGAGCGUUAAUCGGAAUUACUGGGCGUAAAGCGUGCGCAGGCGGUUCGUCGUGUCCGAUGUGAAAGCCCCGGGCUCAACCUGGGAAUGGCAUUGGAAACUGGCGGACUCGAGUUUGGCAGAGGGGGGGUAGAAUUCCACGUGUAGCAGUGAAAUGCGUAGAGAUGUGGAGGAACACCGAUGGCGAAGGCAGCCCCCCUGGGUCAAAAACUGACGCUCAUGCACGAAAGCGUGGGGAGCAAACAGG